rnacentral:rRNA from 1 species
ACUCAAAGGAAUUGACGGGGGCCCGCACAAGCGGCGGAGCAUGUGGCUUAAUUCGACGCAACGCGAAGAACCUUACCAAGGCUUGACAUGUGCGGAAAUCUUCCAGAGAUGGGAGGUCCUUCGGGGUCGCACACAGGUGGUGCAUGGUUGUCGUCAGCUCGUGUCGUGAGAUGUUGGGUUAAGUCCCGCAACGAGCGCAACCCUCGUCCGAUGUUGCCAGCGGGUCAUGCCGGGGACUCAUCGGAGACUGCCGGGGUCAACUCGGAGGAAGGUGGGGAUGACGUCAAAUCAUCAUGCCCCUUAUGUCUUGGGCUGCACACAUGCUACAAUGGCCGGUACAAAGGGCUGCUAAGCCGUGAGGUGGAGCGAAUCCCAAAAAGCCGGUCUCAGUUCGGAUCGGGGUCUGCAACUCGACCCCGUGAAGUCGGAGUCGCUAGUAAUCGCAGAUCAGCAACGCUGCGGUGAAUACGUUCCCGGGCCUUGUACACACCGCCCGU